CUUGGUUGGCGCGACGGUUUGAUUGGGUGUGCUAUGCUCUAGAUGUCCUUGUUCAUUUUCAGCGUGUGUAGUUUAUGAAGUAUUUAACUCAAUCAUCGGUGUGACCGCUCUAGGUCGUGGUUGUUAUCGUUUGGGACCGCAGCCGGUUAUGGAUUGCAUGGAUUAGUAGCAACUUUGUUGCGAAGCUUUGACAUACAAACCGUCAGACGGUCAGACAGUACACCGGCACGCCUGAAGACCACAGCUAAGAUCUCUUGUUCUUCCCUAUAUCGUUCCAGUGCUUUACCCUGCAACAGACUUUCGAUUUUUCAAAUGCACUUCCUAUUGAAGUUCAUUAAAGCUGGACUAUUAUUGCCCUGCCAGAAGUAUUUGGGUGGACAUUUGAGUUAAAAGUGAGGUUGCUUGCAAGUUGUGUAUUGUUAUUUUAACUAUUGAGUUGGUGUGUACUAAUGACAUGUGGCCAAGAAGAUUGUGGACAUUUUAAGGCCUUUGUUUUGUCUCUGGACACCCCCCACAUUCAUACCUUCUGCACUCCUCCACUGGAAGACAGAACCAGCCCCUUGUCCAGCCUGCUGUCAGACCCAGACCUGGCCUCUCUGGAUAGGCUGGAGGCACCAGAGGAGCACCAAGCCUUAGACUACUCCUACCACCCCAGCCUCACCCAACAGGGGGGGGAGAGGGAGAAGUUGGGUCUACAGACUGACACCCCGGAAGCUUGGAGCUCUGAUAUAGAGCUCUCUUAGACAUGAGAUUCUCUCCCGGCGUGUUCCUCAUCCCAGGCCAAAUAUAUCACCAUCGUCCGUGAAGACCGAAGAGACCAAGAGAGCAGCAAAGAUUUGCAUCUCAUUUUAAGGAUGAACAUUAGCACUUUCUCUAAAUACUAUUUGAUGUUGUGAUGUAUAUACGGUUGGGUGUAUGUUUUCUAAAGGUUUAUGAAUGUCCACACAUCUUGAUUACAUAAGUGGCUGCUCAUGUACAGUGCUUUCUAAUUAUGUAAAGAAUGUGUGAAUUUAAUAUAAAUAUUGGUUUUAUUAAUUAAAUGGUUUGCCAGUGUUUUUUAUUGCUGUGUGCACCCAUG
ensembl:lncRNA